rnacentral:tRNA from 1 species
GCCCGAUUAGUUCAAUGGUAGAACAGAGAGCCGAUAACUCUCAGACCUAGGAUCGUAACCUAGAUUGGGUA